rnacentral:rRNA from 1 species
CCUACGGGAGGCAGCAGUGGGGAAUAUUGCACAAUGGGGGAAACCCUGAUGCAGCAACGCCGCGUGAGGGAGGAAGGCUUUCGGGAUGUAAAGCUCUAUCAGCAGGGACUAGGAAAGAAGGUAUCUGUAAGAGAUGACCCGGCUAACUACGUGCCAGCAGACGCGGUAAUACGUAGGGGGCAAGCGUUAUCCGGAUUUACUGGGUGUAAAGGGAGCGUAGACGGAAAGGCAAGUCAGAGGUGAAAGCCCAAGGCUCAACCAUGGGACUGCUUUUGAAACUGUCAAACUAGAGUACGGGAGAGGUAAGAGGAAUUCCUAGUGUAGCGGUGAAAUGCGUAGAUAUUAGGAGGAACACCAGUGGCGAAGGCGUCUUACUGGACCGAAACUGACGUUGAGGCUCGAAAGCGUGGGGAGCAAACAGGAUUAGAUACCCUGGUAGUC